CAGCUUCCUUAGCCUGUGUAGCAAAAAUUGGAAUGAUACAGAGAAGAUUAGUGUGGUCCUUGCACAAGGAUGACACAGAUCUGUGAUGCGUUCCAUAUUUUU
rnacentral:snRNA from 1 species